rnacentral:rRNA from 1 species
CAGCAGCCACGGUAAUACGUAGGGUGCGAGCGUUAAUCGGAAUUACUGGGCGUAAAGCGUGCGCAGGCGGUUCGUUAAGACAGAUGUGAAAUCCCCGGGCUUAACCUGGGAACUGCAUUUGUGACUGGCGAGCUAGAGUAUGGCAGAGGGGGGUAGAAUUCCACGUGUAGCAGUGAAAUGCGUAGAUAUGCGGAGGAACACCGAUGGCGAAGGCAAUCCCCUGGACCUGUACUGACGCUCAUGCACGAAAGCGUGGGGAGCAAACAGGAUUAGAUACCCCCGUAGUCCCUGUCUCUUAUAC